rnacentral:piRNA from 1 species
UCAUAGAUCUGAGUUUUAUGA